CGGGGUGAGUAAUGUCUGGGAAACUGCCUGAUGGAGGGGGAUAACUACUGGAAACGAUAGCUAAUACCGCAUAACGUCGCAAGACCAAAGUGGGGGACCUUCGGGCCUCUUGCCAUCGGAUGUGCCCAGAUGGGAUUAGCUAGUAGGUGGGGUAACGGCUCACCUAGGCGACGAUCCCUAGCUGGUCUGAGAGGAUGACCAGCCACACUGGAACUGAGACACGGUCCAG
rnacentral:rRNA from 1 species